UUACGUAACCAGACCUUCUUGACACUACUUAAUGCGAUUUCCAAUUCGUUCGGUCAUCAGUGCUUGGUUCGCUUCCGGAGUGAAUUCAUCUUCUCAUUAUUAAAGAGUUCUUUCGCAGACAAAGUCGUCGUCCCACACGUUAUCAAAAUGCUGUCAAGUGACCACAUCAAGGGGAUCGUAGUCCUGGGGUUGGUCAUCCUCUUCUACCUCCUGACCAUCGCAACCCCCAUGCAGAGCGUGGAGUCCUAAAGUCGUGUCGAGAAUGCGGGCGUAAAUGUGAUCAUCGUGGAAUAUCUGGAGGGAGUGAAUGUUUUUUAAAUUGGACAGAAGAUACUGGACAUGAAAGAAGUAUCAUGAAACGCAUCUAAAUUCCGGUUCUUCUCAAACCCUCAACUACUUUUUUUUAAUUCCGGAAACAUUGUGGGAACCAAUUUUAAUUUUGUAUAAAAGAUUCGUGAAUGGUCUCAUAGAUAAUUUCAUGCGUAUGUAUUUGUACUACUACCAACUAAUUUAACGUGGUGGUGUGAAAAAAGAGGACUUUUUUUGGGGGGGAGAAAAACUAUCAUUAAUCUUGUCAAUGUCAAUCCACCUGUCAUCUUAUUCAUCAGCAAUUUUUCAUCCACAUCUUUCUUGGCCAACUUUCAAAAAUUAUUUUUUUUCUCCCCAGCUUAAAUAUAAAUUAUUAUGCGUCAAACAAAAAACUUGACUCACUGACCUUGUACUUGAAGGAAUGGAAUUUUAUCCGUGGGAAGGAAAUGAAAUGAAUCGGGGUAAAUUCCCAGGGGACACUUUUUGAGGGGGACACUUUUUUCAUAGUUAGUUUAUUUAGCAGACAAAUUUAUGUAUUUGUAUUCCCAAUAAUCUCAAAUGUUUAUUUUUCUUAUGGAUUGUACUUGUACUAGAUUUUGUGCAAAAAUGAUAUGGUGUAAACAUUGUAAUAAAUUAGAUCGGAUACCUACUUAUCUAACAUAA